UACAGACAUGCCCACGGGUCAGCCUGAUCUAGAUGACACUUCAGUUAAAAGGCGACUCUGGGUUGUGUCAAAUCAACAGUUUAAUCAAAGCAUCCAGUAGAAAGAAAAUCCCUUCUGCUCCUGGGCGCUGGACUUCAUGUCUCAUUCUUCUGUUUUUGAUUGAGCUGACAUUCAGACUUUCCUCGUGAACUUCAAAUAGUGAGGCUGGCUAACAGACCUCACAAACUGGAAUGGAAGGGCUGGAGGCUGAGGGAACCAUGGGUUAGCUAGGCACCGUCAGACCUGUUUCCAGGAUCACAGGAUGGCAGCCACCAGGGAUCUAUGGAAAGCAUAGAAGUGACAGUCCUCUACUUUGGCAAAGACUUGUUCUGACUUCCAGAAGUCACCAUGGCUCCCUGAGCCUCAGUUUCUCCUCCUGGUUGUUCCCUCUGAGACGACGAGAUGUUUUGAAUUCACAACUAGUGGCCAGGAUGAAGAAACAGAGGCGUGUUGCUUGACGGUGCUGGAUGUCAGGGGCCAAGAAGUGUGGAGCUUGGCUGCAAACCCAGCCCUUUGCCCUGUCAGCUCUUCCCGGAGUCAGUAAAUAAGAGUCAAGGAGCAGCUUGCUCUAGGUGAUUCUUCCUCCUCCAGGCUGCCCCUGGAAGCGACCUGAGGGCCAGGAUGAGGUACCAUGCUCUUUCCUGCAGCCAGACUCAGUAGACGACCUGAAGAACAGUCUGAUUGACGGGUGCAACUGUUUCAUUAAAAAAAUAAUAAUAAUUAAAAAUCAACCAACUGGGCAUGUGUAGCCUCAGCGGUCAGGGCAGCCAGUGAAGCCACAGUUAUUUCUGACACAAUUACAGACAGUGGCUGUCACCUGAGAUGUGAAGAGCAGGAUGAGGCACUGCCUCCACCCCAUGGGGGACUUGGAGGGUUAUUUUUAUAAAUUGGGCCUGGAGCAGUGGCUGCAGCCGGCCCUUGUUGGCUCUUCAGCUUCAAGAUGGCAGACGGCCUGCCUGUGGUUCUGUUGAGCCGGCCUGUUGAGCCAUCCCCCUGGAGGAAAGAUUCUGAGUGUAGGCUCAGGCCGACACAUCGCCAGAGGAAAACCACGCCCUCUGCAGCAGUCCAUACCACAGCCAGAGCCACAGUACAGUGAGAGUCAUUGCUGUGACCACACGCUGCCAUCGCCACUUCCCGUAGCUCCACUGUGCCCAGAGCCAGUGGAUUUUGAGGUCUGCUGUGUACCAGGCUCACAGGCAGGACUAUCGCCACGCCAACCUUCUCUGAAGACAAGUUUUGUUCUCGGAUGAGAAAGCUGGGGCUGGGAGAGGUGACGUCAACUACCCAGGACCACUCAGCACGGGGUUGAAGAAGGAAGGAAGACGAGUCCCUGAGGUCCUAACACUCUUUUCAAGGUGCUAGGCUAGAAUCUAUGGUUUCACACAGGCUAAGGAAGUGCUCUGCCCUGAGUAGCCCCAGCCGGAAUGUCUCGACUUCCUUAGAACUGAAGGUACACGAUACCGUGCCUGUUUUAUACCGUGCUAGGGAUCAAAACCAGGGCCUGGUGCAUGCUGGGUAAACGCCCUACCAACUGAGCUACCUCGCCCUCUCCUCACUGAUCAGCAAAUCAGUCCAAGGAAGCCAGCAGAUGGAGACAUUACAGGGAUGACAGGCGUGAAGUACUACACAUCUUGUGUUUACAAACAGACAACAAGCAAGCAAGCAAGCAAACAAUCCCCUAUGGGCUGAAGAGACAGUCAGUGAUUAAGAGAACUUGAAGAAGACAAUCUGCUCCCAGCACCCACGUGGUGGCUUAUAACUGCUGUAGCUCUUGCUCCAGGGGGUCCACUACCCUCUUCUGUCCUCUGUGAGCACCUCCUCAUGGGUGUGCACCCACACAACUAUACAUAAAUAAAAAUAAAACAAAUCAGGGCUGGAGAGAUGACCCAGUGGUUAGGAACACUGACUGCUCUUCUAGAGGUCUUGAGUUCAAAUUCCAGCAAACACAUGGUGGCUCACAGCCAUCUGUAAUGAGAUCUGACACCCUCUUCUGGUGUGUCUGAAGACAGCUACAGUGUGCUUAUAUAUAAUAAAUAAAUCUUUAAAAAAAAAGAAAUUCAAGGUCA